ensembl:lncRNA
AUGUCUCCUUCUAUUAAGGCAAGUUGUCCAGGUCUUGAGGCAGCAAAGCAUCCCCAAACCAUCACCACCAUGCUUGACCCAUUGGUAUACAGUGGAAUGCAGUGUUUGGUUUUCGCCAGGCAUAAUGAGACACAUGUCGUCAAAGUUUACAGAGUCAUGUUUAACAAUAAAAAAAUUGUAUUGGAAAAAAAAAGAAAGAACAGCAUAGGGGCUCUGCCCCUGUUUCUGACUACACAGACUGCAUACAGUAACAACAUAGUGAACUGGCAUGAAAUAUGCACACAGAAAUACCAUAACACUUGAGUGACAGCAGACUAGGGAGGCAGAGAGAGAGAGAGAGAGAGAUGUGGCUAGUUUCAUGUUUUAAAAAAAAAACAAGUUAUAUUUGUCUGAAAUCAACUCUUGCUUUUCCUAAACCAGCAUGAACAUUAGGGGGAGAGGGGCUGGGUGGAACACUGAGCUGGCCAUUGGACUGAGUGGGGUCAAAUACAGCACAACACCUCGUGAUUAGAGACCACAAAAAUACUCAACAGCUCGAUCAUUUGACACAAAUACAAACUAUCAAAUAAAUAUGUUAAUCUGGAUUUAUGUGGUGUCCUGCACACAAGGUUGGGUCUCAUUGUGAUGCUUGGCAAAUGAUUUGUAGUGAAAACAUGAAAUAAAACCUUGAAAAUGUACAAAAUAGGUGGGUCAAAGGCCCAACAAAGAGGAUGUCGGCGGGUGUUGUAGAAUCCUAACGAUGAGGAUCAUGACAUAACAAAGAUGGAUGAGUGAUAUCAAACCUUCAUUUGGGAUGUCACAUCCCACUGGGUAAAAACUGAUUGAAUCAACGUUGUUUCCACGUCAUUUCAACCCAAAGGGAAUUUCAUAUUUUUUUCACCCUUUUGACCUAAAUCCAAUGACAUGGUGACAUGUUUUGUUGAUUUCACGUUGAAUUCACAUUAGUUGACAACUCAACCAAAUCUAAAUCAAAACUCUAACUUGAACUCAUGUCUGUGCCCAGUGGGAUGUCAUCUCCUGCCUGGGCAUUAACCCCCUCUUUCAAUCCCCACACAGUUUCCUCAAACUUGUUUGAAAGAGGUCUAUUUUUAUUAAUUUACUCAUAAACACAGACAUGGUCGUCUCUGUUUAGCUGCUUUUCAAGGUUAGACUAAAUAUGCCUCUGAACAUCGCUGUCCCAGGCUCAAAUAAAACAAAAUAACAAACAACUGCACAUAAGAAACUCCACUAAGAAAAAAACAAACAUUAUUAUAUAUAUUUAUAUAUUAGAAAGCUAUACACAAGCAUGUUCAUUUCACAGAUUUUUUUUUAAAGAGUCUUAAUUUUAUCAUUAUUAUAUAUAAUUAGAAAUACACGUUUAAAAACAAAACCUCUACAAAGGGAAAACAGUUCAGCAAAGCAUGGGUUCUCAGUCUGUUCUCAUGGCUUGGUUUGGACGCCCAGUAAUUUCAUUUCUUGUCGGACUAUCCAUCUCAUUCAUAUUAGCAAAGCUAUCAAAAAACACAUUCUGGCUUAUAGAAACUACAAAAAGCCUCAAAAUUGCUUUGCAUUGUAUUCCUUUCAUAUGAAAAUAUAAGCAAGUGUAUCGUACAAUUGUUUUUUUUAUACUGAAUAUCUAAUACAAGACCCAUGGUUUCUUGAUUACACUAACAUGGCUCUUGGGUAAAAGGAUGUUCCUAUCUAUAGGCUCCAUAUUUGAGGAGGAGCUCUCUGUUUAGCAUGGGUUCUCUUCCUGGUUCCUCACAUCUACCAAUGGGCCUGCGGUAAUACCUGUACAAUCCUUCAAAUGUUGCAUAUUAGCUUUCAUUUUGUGUAUGAAUAAUCUGUAAUGUCUGGCAACUUUUGACCCCUCCCCUUUGCCAUCUGACCCUCUAUUUACAUAAAUACGUUGAACCUGCAACAUGACAUCAUCUAUCGUAACAAACAUUUUGUAAGGGAGAACCGCGGAGAAAGGUAGCAAUGAAAUAGACGCUGUACACAUGUAUUGGUUGGCCAACUCAAGUGCUAGGCUGUUCACUUAGCAACAUACACUCUGGAUGUUUCCUCUACUAGUAACUGAUUAUCACUGAGGAAAGUUAUAAGUACUUUUACAAAACAGAGUACCUGACUUUUUUUUGUUUAUUUGUUGAUAUGCAUAUAUGUGCACAUAGACACACGUGUAAAUUUAUAUGCAUACAUUUUUUCCCCACACACGGCACAAGUAAUGCAUAGUUCCCCACCAAAAAUAUCCCCUAACCCCAUUCCAACCAACCUCCUCCACUGCUUUAUAGAACUUCAAUAUGUAUAGCACACAUACUCUGCAAAAAGCAAAAAGAAACAUUACAGUUAAAUAUAGAAAAAGGUGCCCCCCUUCCUCCAAUGAGAGAGAGAGAGAGAGAUAAGAGAGAGAGAGAUAGAGAUAGAGAGAGCAUGGGCUCCGGAGGUGAGUGACGCGUCACGUGGUGAUAUCGAGAGUGAGGGUGUCGGGGCAUCAUGACGUCGCAGCGUGAGCGAGGCUUGAGCGACG